UCUGAUUCCAAAUAUUUCUCCUCAUCUCUCUCCGGGAUCUUUGUCAGAGUUUUAUAAUCUACUCUGCAAGUUGCCUUCGCCCAGUUUGUCUAUAUGCCUUGUACACAUGGAACUGUCUGAUCCACGAACCACGUCAACCUCCGUGGGGCACAAAGGGUCCACAGAUUUACAUCUAUCACCAUGGGAUGUAAAAUCUCAGCCUGGCUACCAUCCAGAUAAACCUGAAUUUUAAAAAACCAAAAUGCUGCGGAUGCUGCAAAGAGAAGGCUGGAAAAAACACAACAGGGGUGACGGCAGCUGUGGGAAGGGUCAGCAUUCCAAGUCUGAAGAAGUCGAAUUGGACUCAGAAUAUAAACUGUUCUUUUUUUUCUCUCUCUACAGAUGUUGAGUGACCCACUUCUGCAGGUCUUACUAUUUUCAUUUCUGAUUAACUUCCCCUGUCUCAUCAGGCUGGGAGCGCUGGAUCACCACAGAAGGCAACCUCCUGUCCAUGGGCCCCACCCACACAUCACAUUGCUUCAGAAAGGCAGCCAAUCUCAUCAAAGCCCCCUCCCGCGGCAGAAAUGAUCUCUUCCAGCUGAGGGCACAGAAACUUAAACACGCGCAGCAAAGGCUCAAGAGCGACCAUUUCCCUGCUGAAUCGAUCGCUCUAACUUCAAAUCUAAUGCUGACCUUGAACAAAAACGGAACUUGCUGGAAAAGCUGAGCAUCUGUGAAGGAAAAUCUGAGUUCGGGUCUGGGUGACCCUUCCUCAGAAGGGUCUUGUUUAAUAUUGUUCUUGCUGUGUGCACCUCCUGUACAGCUGUAAACCUGUGUGCCUCGCUGUCUAAGCAGUUUGUGUUCUGUAUGUCCUUGUAUGUUGUGAUCUGCCUGUACUGCUCGCAAAACGAAACUUUUCACAGUACGCAGAACAUGUGACUACAACAAAUCAAAUCAAAUUGAAUAAACCAUGUUUUGGUUUAAA